ACGUAGGUGGCAAGCGUUGUCCGGAUUUACUGGGUGUAAAGGGCGUGUAGGCGGGAAGACAGGUCAGAUGUGAAAUGUCGGGGCUCAACCCCGGAACUGCAUUUGAAACCGUUUUUCUUGAGUAUCGGAGAGGCAGGCGGAAUUCCUAGUGUAGCGGUGAAAUGCGUAGAUAUUAGGAGGAACACCAGUGGCGAAGGCGGCCUGCUGGACGACAACUGACGCUGAGGCGCGAAAGCGUGGGGAGCAAACAG
rnacentral:rRNA from 1 species